rnacentral:rRNA from 1 species
AGCAGCCGCGGUAAUUCCAGCUCCAAUAGCGUAUAUUAAAGUUGUUGCAGUUAAAAAGCUCGUAGUUGAACUUCGGGGUUUACUCAUUGGUCAGGCUUAAUUGUCUGUACUGGUGAGAUAAAUCUCUACCUUCUGAGGAACUUUCAUGCCAUUUAUUUGGUGUGAUUGGAAAUCAGGACUGUUACUUUGAAAAAAUUAGAGUGUUUAAAGCAGGCUAACGUCUGAAUACAUUAGCAUGGAAUAAUGAAAUAGGACGGAUUGAUUCUAUUUCGUUGGUUUCUAGGGUCACCGUAAUGAUUAAUAGGGAUAGUUGGGGGCAUUAGUAUUCAAUUGUCAGAGGUGAAAUUCUUGGAUUUAUUGAAGACUAACUACUGCGAAAGCAUUUGCCAAGGAUGUUUUCAUUAAUCAAGAACGAAAGUUAGGGGAUCGAAGACGAUCAGAUACCGUCGUAGUCUUAACCAUAAACUAUGCCGACUAGGGAUCGGACGCAGUUAAUUUUAUAAUGACGUGUUCGGCACCUUACG